rnacentral:lncRNA from 1 species
AGCUCUGUAGAUUUUGCUGCGAAGAGAAAGAAUCAUUAGAUCAUUUGUUUUGGUAAUGUCCAUAUGUAGCUUGUUUUUGGUCGCAGGUCCAGGAAUGGCUGAAGAAUAGCAACAUUUAGCACUGCUGGGUGAUUUGAAAAGUCAAUCGAUCAAUAAUGUAAUAACGCUUUUAGCAAAAAAUGUUUUAUUUAAUUUACAAUCUCUAGAAACUAUCAGAGUAGAAAGGUUGAGAACUUUUGUGAAACAUCACAGAUUAAAAAUACAUGGCAAAUAGAUGUAAAAAUUGGAUGGUGUUCAGAGAUAGAUGGGAGGGGUUGAGGGGAGCUGAAGGAUGGGACUGGAUGGUGUUCAGAGAUAGAUGGGAGGGGUUGAGGGGAGCUGAAGGAUGGGACUGGAUGGUGUUCAGAGAUAGAUGGGAGGGGUUGAGGGGAGCUGAAGGAUGGGACUGGAUGGUGUUCAGAGAUAGAUGGGAGGGGUUGAGGGUAGCUGAAAGAUGGGACUGGAUGGUGUUCAGAGAUAGAUGGGAGGGGUUGAGGGGAGCUGAAGGAUGGGACUGGAUGGUGUUCAGAGAUAGAUGGGAGGGGUUGAGGGGAGCUGAAGGAUGGGACUGGAUGGUGUUCAGAGAUAGAUGGGAGGGGUUGAGGGUAGCUGAAAGAUGGGAUUAAAAACAAGAUAACAAAUGUAAAAUAUAUUGUGUCCGUAAAAUGUAUAUAGUAUAAGCUGGAAGUAGAAACCUAAGUGUUGAUGUUCAUUAGUUUACUCCAAUUAGGAGAGGGGUGGGAGGGUUAGUGGAAAAUAAUAAAGGAAAAUAUAUUUCAAAAAAGAGAAAUGUAACCACUCUGAAAUUCAGGAUGGAGCUAUGGAUGCCAGGUCUGACCAUCCAAGGUAUCUAAAUGAUAGUUUUAACCAUGUUUAGAGGCUAUAUAGUUUUUGUUUAUGAUUACAUUGUUUACAAACAAUGGAAUGAAACUAGCUUAUUUGGCUUCUGAUGGGGGACGGCACUUGAAUUAAUGAGGCAUUUAUAGGGGAGAGUGGGGUAAGUUGAGCCAAAGGGGUACGUUGAGCCACCCUUGUUUCUAGGAAACCACGCACAAAAUGUAUAAUUUGACCAAAUACUUAGGUAGAGGUCAUCAUUUCAUGGAUUCUGUUAGUAAGGAAGAAACCACAUGGAAAAAGUGGUAAGCAAGUUAGGUCCAAAAAACAGAUUUUCACCAAGUCAAAUGAAUGUAUUGUGUUAGAGGUUUCAUGAUGCUUCAAUCUAAACUUAAGUAUAUCAUUCUAGAAUGAAAGUGCAUCUUUGUUGCUGUGUGGGCUAAUAUAGUCAAAAUGGGGUAAGUUGAGCCAAUAUUUGAGCCAAUGGCAAGUUGAGCAAAUUGAAGUGUUUAACAAGGCCUGGUCUAUGUUAAAAUAGUUUGUCAGGUAUUAAGCCUAUUUUAAAAGAUGCUUAAAAUGAUUAACGGGCUCCCAAGUGGCGCAGCGGUCUAAGGCACUGCAUCUCAAUCCUUUGAGGCGUCACUACAGACACCCUGGUUCAGCGGUCUAAGGCACUGCAUCUCAGUGUUAGAGGCGUCACUACAGACACCCUGGUUCAGCGGUCUAAGGCACUGCAUCUCAGUGUUUGAGGCGUCACUACAGACACCCUGGUUCAGCGGUCUAAGACACUGCAUCUCAGUGUUAGAGGCAUCACUACAGACACCCUGGUUCAGCGGUCUAAGGCACUGCAUCUCAGUGUUAGAGGCGUCACUACAGACACCCUGGUUCAGCGGUCUAAGGCACUGCAUCUCAGUGUUAGAGGCGUCACUACAGACACCCUGGUUCAGCGGUCUGAGGCACUGCAUCUCAGUGUUUGAGGCGUCACUACAGACACCCUGGUUCAGCGGUCUGAGGCACUGCAUCUCAGUGUUUGAGGCGUCACUACAGACACCCUGGUUCAGCGGUCUGAGGCACUGCAUCUCAGUGUUUGAGGUGUCACUACAGACACCCUGGUUCAGCGGUCUAAGGCACUGCAUCUCAAUGCUUUGAGGCGUCACUACAGACACCCUGGUUCAGCGGUCUAAGGCACUGCAUCUCAGUGUUUGAGGCGUCACUACAGACACCCUGGUUCAGCGGUCUAAGGCACUGCAUCUCAGUGUUUGAGGCGUCACUACAGACACCCUGGUUCAGCGGUCUAAGGCACUGCAUCUCAGUGUUUGAGGCGUCACUACAGACACCCUGGUUCAGCGGUCUAAGGCACUGCAUCUCAGUGUUUGAGGCGUCACUACAGACACCCUGGUUCAGCGGUCUAAGGCACUGCAUCUCAAUGUUUGAGGUGUCACUACAGACACCCUGGUUCAGCGGUCUAAGGCACUGCAUCUCAAUGCUUUGAGGCGUCACUACAGAUACCCUGGUUUGAAUCCAGGCUGUAUCGCAACUGGCCGUGAUUGGGAGUCCCGUAAGGGCGGCGCACAAUUGGCCCAGCGUCGUCCGGGUUUGGCCGGUGUAGGCCGUCAUUGUAAAUAAGAAUUUGUUCUUAAUUAACUGACUUGCCUAGUUAAAUAAAAGUAAAAUUAACUAAAAACGAAAUACUUCUCUGCUAUCUUUAACAGCAAACAAUGAAGGAAAGCUAAUUACAUGGGGGCUAACAGGCAAAUAUUUCCUUUUUGUUGAAGGAGAAACAGAAAAAGAUUGACAGAAUUAGGAUUAUAGAUCAUACAGUAUCAUUCAAAGUGAAAAAUGCAGCAUGUCUUGAUUUGAUUGGACAUCUAUCUGUUCUAUGUACCGAGCUGUGACGCAAAACGGAAACCUAGCCACUUUCUCGUAUCUUAGCAACAGUAACUAGCUAUCUAGCUACACAAGGUUUUAGCCAGCUAGCUAACGUUAUAUCCUGACAACAUUGACGCUCAAUAUAUUUUUGUUCUCAGUCAUAUCUAAGCAAUAUUCAAAAUGGAAUUCAAGCCAGAUAGCCUUUAUUGAAAUGAUAUCUGUUUCGUAAGUUGACGUUGUAACGUUGACCAGGCUCCUCUGUUUGCAGUUUCGUAUUAGUAGAAGGCCUGGUCGUGGCUAGAUAUGUUCGAGUUGCGUUGGGAACAAUUGUAUCAUUUUAGCUAACCCUUUCCUAACCUGCUGCUUAAGUUCUCCUAAACUGUGCUACGAAAAGUCACUUCUGCUAGUAAAAACCUGCAAACCUUCCUUGGGAACAGUCUUGGUUUCCACUAAUGCAUGGGCUCACAUCUCAUCUGACCAGCCCAGCAAUAGCACAAGUUGGCUAGCUGGCUAGCUAACUGGUUUUACCUUGACAACAUUGACCCUCAACAUACUUCUUUUGUUCAAUUAUCUCAGCCACUCCCACAGCAACUCGCCCAAGCCUCCCCCAUUUCUCCUUCACCCAAAUCCAGAUAGCUGAUGUUCUGAAAGAGCUGCAAAAUCUGGACCCCUACAAAUCAGCCGGGCUAGACAAUCUGGACCCUCUCUUUCUAAAAUUAUCUGACGAAAUUGUUGCAACCCCUAUUACAAGCCUGUUCAACCUCUCUUUCGUAACGUCUGAGAUUCCCAAAGAUUGGAAAGCUGCCGCGGUCAUCCCCCUCUUCAAAGGGGGAGACACUCUAGACCCAAACUGCUACAGACCUAUAUCUAUCCUACCCUGCCUUUCUAAGGUCUUCGAAAGCCAAGUUAACAGAUUACCGACCAUUUCGAAUCUCACCAUACCUUCUCCGCCAUGCAAUCUGGUUUCAGAGCUGGUCAUGGGUGCACCUCAGCCACGCUCAAGGUCCUAAACAAUAUCAUAACUGCCAUCGAUAAGAGACAUUACUGUGCAGCCGUAUUCAUCGACCUGGCCAAGGCUUUCAACUCUGUCAAUCACCACAUCCUUAUUGGCAGACUCAACAGCUGUCACAACUUCCGCCGAAGUUGGUCCCUCUCCUUGUUCGGGCGGCGUCCGGCGGUCGACGUCACCGGUUUUCUAGUUGCCACCAAUCCACGUUUUCAUUUUCCAUUUGUUUUGUCUUCAUUGUACACACCUGGUUUCCAUUUCGUAAUUAUUGUUCCCUAUUUAACCCUCUGGUUUCCCCCUUGGUUUUGUGCGUGUUUGUUCUGUGUUAAGCUGUCGCUUAUAUUUUGUGAGCUGGAUUAUUUUCCCUGUGUGGAAUAUUUAGUUGUUUUGUUGAGUAAAGUCCUUUAUUACUCAUUCUCUGUGUCCUGCGCCUGACUCCGUCCCACCUGCUGCACAUUGACUCUUAACAACAGCCUUGGUUUCUCAAAUUAUUGCCUCGCCUGGUUCACCAACUACUUCUCUAAUAGAGUUCAAUGUGUCAAAUCGGAGGGCCUGUUGUCCGGACCUUUGGCAGUCUCUAUGGGUGUGCCACAGGGUUCAAUUCUCGGGCCGAUUCUCUUCUCUGUAUCAACGAUGUCGCUGUUGCUGCUGGUGAUUCUCUGAUCCACCUCUACGCAGGCGACACCAUUCUGUAUACUUCUGGCCCUUCUUUGGACACUGUGUUAACUUUAUUUAUUUAAUUUAUUUCACCUUCAUUUAACCAGGUAGGCUAGUUGAGAACAAGUUGUCAUUUGCAUCUGCAACCUGUCCAAGAUAAAGCAAAGCAGUUCGACACUUACAACAACACAGAGUUACACAUGAAAUAAACAAACAUACAAUCAAUAAUACAGUAGGAAAAUAUAUAUAUACAGCAUGUGCAAAUGAGGUAGUAUAAGAGAGGUAGGCAAUAAAUAGGCCAUGGUGGCAAAGUAAUUACAAUAUAGAUAUUAAACACUGGAAUGGUAGGAUGUGCAGAGGAUGAAUGUGCAAGUUGAGAUACUGGGGUGCAAAGGAGCAAGAUAAAUAAAUAAAUACAGUAUGGGGAUGAGGUAGAUUGGAUGGGCUAUUUACAGAUGAGCUAUGUACAAGUGCAGUGAUCUGUGAGCUGCUCUGACAGCUGGUGCUUA